rnacentral:snoRNA from 1 species
ACUUAGGAAUAGAAAAGGAAAAUACUGUAUCCCUGGGCCUUCCAUAGUGCCCCAUGCUGGAGCAAACUGUGGCCUGGAACCAUUGCCUGGCCUCUCUGGCAGUGAGGCAGGUUGCACAGCA